AACGCACAUUGCGCCCCUCGGUAUCCCGGGGGGCAUGCCUGUUCGAGCGUCAUUACAUCUCUCAAGCGUAGCUUGGUCAUGGGUUGUCGCCGGUGUUCUACGCCGGCGUGCCCGAAAAGCAGUGGCGGUCCUGGGAGACUUCAAGCGCAGUAACUUCUUUCGCUUCGGACAAUCCUCGGCGAUCUGCCAAAAUCCGUGCCUUCGGGUACACUUUCCAAUGAUUGACCUCGGAUCAGGUAGGGAUACCCGCUGAACUUAA
rnacentral:misc_RNA from 1 species